rnacentral:rRNA from 1 species
AACGAACGCUGGCGGCAGGCUUAACACAUGCAAGUCGAACGCCCCGCAAGGGGAGUGGCAGACGGGUGAGUAACGCGUGGGAACAUACCCUUUCCUGCGGAAUAGCUCUGGGAAACUGGAAUUAAUACCGCAUACGCCCUACGGGGGAAAGAUUUAUCGGGGAAGGAUUGGCUCGCGUUGGAUUAGCUAGUUGGUGGGGUAAAGGCCUACCAAGGCGACGAUCCAUAGCUGGUCUGAGAGGAUGUUCAGCCACAUUGGGACUGAGACACGGCCCAUACUCCGGCGGGAGGCAGCAGUGGGGAAUAUUGGACAAUGGGCGCAAGCCUGAUCCAGCCAUGCCGCGUGAGUGAUGAAGGCCUUAGGGUUGUAAAGCUCUUUCACCGAUGAAGAUAAUGACGGUAGUCGGAGAAGAAGCCCCGGCUAACUUCGUGCCAGCCGCCGCGGUAAGAC